rnacentral:rRNA from 1 species
CCUACGGGUGACAGCAGUGAGGAAUAUUGGUCAAUGGACGCAAGUCUGAACCAGCCAUGCCGCGUGCAGGAAGACGGCUCUAUGAGUUGUAAACUGCUUUUGUACGAGGGUAAACGCAGAUACGCGUAUCUGUCUGAAAGUAUCGUACGAAUAAGGAUCGGCUAACUCCGUGCCAGCAGCCGCGGUAAUACGGAGGAUUCAGGCGUUAUCCGGAUUUAUUGGGGUUAACGGGUGCGUAGGCGGUCGGAUAAGGUAGAGGUGCAAUCCCGAGGCUCAACUUCGGAAUGGCCUCUGAUACUGUUCGGCUAGCGCGUAGUUGCGGUAGGCGGAAUGUCUGGUGUAGCGGUGAAAUGCUUAGAGAUCAUCCAGCACCCCGAUUGCGAAGGCAGCUUACCACGCUACUUCUGACGUUGAGGCACGAAAGCGUGGGGAGCAAACAGGAUUAGAUACCCGUGUAGUC